GCCGGAGUGGUGAAAUUGGUAGACGCAGAGGACUCAAAAUCCUCCGAGCUUUAAGUUCGUGUCGGUUCGAUUCCGACCUCCGGCACCA
rnacentral:tRNA from 1 species